rnacentral:rRNA from 1 species
UAAACGCUGGCGGCGUGCUUAACACAUGCAAGUCGAACGAAGUUUUUCUUUCGGGAGGAACUUAGUGGCGGACGGGUGAGUAACGCGUGGGUAACCUGCCCUGUACAGGGGGACAACAGCUGGAAACGGCUGCUAAUACCGCAUAAGCCCUUAGCACUGCAUGGUGCAUAGGGAAAAGGAGCAAUCCGGUACAGGAUGGACCCGCGUCUGAUUAGCCAGUUGGCAGGGUAACGGCCUACCAAAGCGACGAUCAGUAGCCGAUCUGAGAGGAUGUACGGCCACAUUGGGACUGAGACACGGCCCAGACUCCUACGGGAGGCAGCAGUGGGGAAUAUUGCACAAUGGAGGAAACUCUGAUGCAGCGACGCCGCGUGAGUGAAGAAGUAUUUCGGUAUGUAAAGCUCUAUCAGCAGGAAAGAAAAGGACGGUACCUGACUAAGAAGCACCGGCUAAAUACGUG